UUUUUACUGUCAAAUUACGGUUGGUUUUAUUAGUGAGAUAAAAAAAAUCAAUUUUUUUAGGAAUUAGACACUACAUAUAGCUUAUUAUUCCCGAACUCCGAAAUAUAACUCAAUUAGUUUGAUAUAUUAAAGAAAGUAAGAGUCAAAAGACUUAACCAUUAAGAUACACAUUUGAUUUAAAAUUGAGUGGAAUGUAGUGC
rnacentral:lncRNA from 1 species